AGGAAGGGAGGAAGCGUAGAAGGUGCCGAUGCACUUUUCCUCUCUCCAGCCCUCCUGACUGCUCCAAGAAUUUCAUCGAACAAGACUCAAAGAGGCCCAGCUGCUCUGCGUUUUGAUUCUUCUCCCUCUCUCAGUCCACACUGACCUGGGAGGGGCUUCUCAAACACCACAUUUCCUAGCGUGCUGUGAGAAGAGGACUGUGAGCUAAGAAGGGAGAAAAGGCACUCCCUCCUCAUCAACAAACACCUGACCUGGGUAGACCCUCUGCUUACCAAGAUCCAGUCCACCUUUUGACAUCAGCAUUCAUGCUGCCUCUUUUUACGAACCAAGCCAAAGUGGUCCCUUCCUCUGGAAAUUAUAGGAUACUUAAUGUACAUCAUAUCCAGCUUCCCGACUCCAGACUGUGGGAGAUGACACAGAGCCAGCCUGCCUGGAUGUGACUCAGCUCUGCAACUUAUUAAAGACCUUUGGCAAAUC
rnacentral:lncRNA from 10 species